rnacentral:rRNA from 1 species
GUAGGGUGCGAGCGUUAAUCGGAAUUACUGGGCGUAAAGCGUGCGCAGGCGGUUCGUUGUGUCGGUGGUGAAAGCCCCGGGCUUAACCUGGGAAUGGCCAUGGAAACUGGCGAACUGGAGUGUGGCAGAGGGGGGUGGAAUUCCGCGUGUAGCAGUGAAAUGCGUAGAGAUGCGGAGGAACACCGAUGGCGAAGGCAGCCCCCUGGGCUAGCACUGACGCUCAGGCACGAAAGCGUGGGGAGCAAACAGGAUUAGAUACCCUGGUAGUCCACGCCCUAAACCAUGUCAACUGGGUGUUCGGGAAGCGAUUUCUGAGUACCGUAGCUAACGCGUGAAGUUGACCGCCUGGGGAGUACGGCCGCAAGGUUA